rnacentral:rRNA from 1 species
AGCAGCCGCGGUAAUUCCAGCUCCAAUAGCGUAUAUUAAAGUUGUUGCAGUUAAAAAGCUCGUAGUUGAAUUUCGGGAUUUGCACAUCGGUCGUGCCUUAAGGGGUAUGAACUGGUGUAGUGAAUUUCUCACCUUCUGGAGAACCGUGAUGUCCUUAAUUGGGUGCCACGAGGAACCAGGACCUUUACUUUAGAAAAAUUAGAGUAGUUUAAAGCAGGCAUUUUUGCUUGAAUACAUUAGCAUGGAAUAAUAAAAUAGGACGGCAUGAUUCUAUUUUGUUGAUUUCUAGGAUCACCGUAAUGAUUAAUAGGGAUAGUUGGGGGCAUUAGUAUUCAAUUGUCAGAGGUGAAAUUCUUGGAUUUAUUGAAGACUAACUACUGCGAAAGCAUUUGCCAAGGAUGUUUUCAUUAAUCAAGAACGAAAGUUAGGGGAUCGAAGACGAUCAGAUACCGUCGUAGUCUUAACCAUAAACUAUGCCGACUAGGAAUCAGACGAUGUUAAUUUUUUAAUGACUCGUUUG